CCUACGGGCGGCAGCAGUGGGGAAUAUUGGACAAUGGGGGCAACCCUGAUCCAGCCAUGCCGCGUGUGUGAAGAAGGCCCUCGGGUUGUAAAGCACUUUCAGUGAGGAAGAACGCCUGGUGGUUAAUACCUAUCAGGAAAGACAUCACUCACAGAAGAAGCACCGGCUAACUCCGUGCCAGCAGCCGCGGUAAUACGGAGGGUGCGAGCGUUAAUCGGAAUUACUGGGCGUAAAGCGCGCGUAGGUGGCUUGAUAAGCCGGUUGUGAAAGCCCCGGGCUCAACCUGGGAACGGCAUCCGGAACUGUCAAGCUAGAGUGCAGGAGAGGAAGGUAGAAUUCCCGGUGUAGCGGUGAAAUGCGUAGAGAUCGGGAGGAAUACCAGUGGCGAAGGCGGCCUUCUGGACUGACACUGACACUGAGGUGCGAAAGCGUGGGUAGCAAACAGGAUUAGAUACCCUGGUAGUC
rnacentral:rRNA from 1 species